rnacentral:rRNA from 1 species
UUAAGCGACUAAGCGUACACGGUGGAUGCCCUGGCAGUCAGAGGCGAUGAAGGACGUGCUAAUCUGCGAUAAGCGUCGGUAAGGUGAUAUGAACCGUUAUAACCGGCGAUUUCCGAAUGGGGAAACCCAGUGUGAUUCGUCACACUAUCAUUAACUGAAUCCAUAGGUUAAUGAGGCGAACCGGGGGAACUGAAACAUCUAAGUACCCCGAGGAAAAGAAAUCAACCGAGAUUCCCCCAGUAGCGGCGAGCGAACGGGGAGCAGCCCAGAGCCUGAAUCAGUGUGUGUGUUAGUGGAAGCGUCUGGAAAGGCGCGCGAUACAGGGUGACAGCCCCGUACACAAAAAUGCACAUGCUGUGAGCUCGAUGAGUAGGGCGGGACACGUGGUAUCCUGUCUGAAUAUGGGGGGACCAUCCUCCAAGGCUAAAUACUCCUGACUGACCGAUAGUGAACCAGUACCGUGAGGGAAAGGCGAAAAGAACCCCGGCGAGGGGAGUGAAAAAGAACCUGAAACCGUGUACGUACAAGCAGUGGGAGCACAGAGCAAUCUGUGUGACUGCGUACCUUUUGUAUAAUGGGUCAGCGACUUAUAUUCUGUAGCAAGGUUAACCGAAUAGGGGAGCCGAAGGGAAACCGAGUCUUAACUGGGCGUUAAGUUGCAGGGUAUAGACCCGAAACCCGGUGAUCUAGCCAUGGGCAGGUUGAAGGUUGGGUAACACUAACUGGAGGACCGAACCGACUAAUGUUGAAAAAUUAGCGGAUGACUUGUGGCUGGGGGUGAAAGGCCAAUCAAACCGGGAGAUAGCUGGUUCUCCCCGAAAGCUAUUUAGGUAGCGCCUCGUGAAUUCAUCUCCGGGGGUAGAGCACUGUUUCGGCAAGGGGGUCAUCCCGACUUACCAACCCGAUGCAAACUGCGAAUACCGGAGAAUGUUAUCACGGGAGACACACGGCGGGUGCUAACGUCCGUCGUGAAGAGGGAAACAACCCAGACCGCCAGCUAAGGUCCCAAAGUCAUGGUUAAGUGGGAAACGAUGUGGGAAGGCCCAGACAGCCAGGAUGUUGGCUUAGAAGCAGCCAUCAUUUAAAGAAAGCGUAAUAGCUCACUGGUCGAGUCGGCCUGCGCGGAAGAUGUAACGGGGCUAAACCAUGCACCGAAGCUGCGGCAGCGACACUGUGUGUUGUUGGGUAGGGGAGCGUUCUGUAAGCCUGCGAAGGUGUGCUGUGAGGCAUGCUGGAGGUAUCAGAAGUGCGAAUGCUGACAUAAGUAACGAUAAAGCGGGUGAAAAGCCCGCUCGCCGGAAGACCAAGGGUUCCUGUCCAACGUUAAUCGGGGCAGGGUGAGUCGACCCCUAAGGCGAGGCCGAAAGGCGUAGUCGAUGGGAAACAGGUUAAUAUUCCUGUACUUGGUGUUACUGCGAAGGGGGGACGGAGAAGGCUAUGUUGGCCGGGCGACGGUUGUCCCGGUUUAAGCGUGUAGGCUGGUUUUCCAGGCAAAUCCGGAAAAUCAAGGCUGAGGCGUGAUGACGAGGCACUACGGUGCUGAAGCAACAAAUGCCCUGCUUCCAGGAAAAGCCUCUAAGCAUCAGGUAACAUCAAAUCGUACCCCAAACCGACACAGGUGGUCAGGUAGAGAAUACCAAGGCGCUUGAGAGAACUCGGGUGAAGGAACUAGGCAAAAUGGUGCCGUAACUUCGGGAGAAGGCACGCUGAUAUGUAGGUGAAGUCCCUCGCGGAUGGAGCUGAAAUCAGUCGAAGAUACCAGCUGGCUGCAACUGUUUAUUAAAAACACAGCACUGUGCAAACACGAAAGUGGACGUAUACGGUGUGACGCCUGCCCGGUGCCGGAAGGUUAAUUGAUGGGGUUAGCGCAAGCGAAGCUCUUGAUCGAAGCCCCGGUAAACGGCGGCCGUAACUAUAACGGUCCUAAGGUAGCGAAAUUCCUUGUCGGGUAAGUUCCGACCUGCACGAAUGGCGUAAUGAUGGCCAGGCUGUCUCCACCCGAGACUCAGUGAAAUUGAACUCGCUGUGAAGAUGCAGUGUACCCGCGGCAAGACGGAAAGACCCCGUGAACCUUUACUAUAGCUUGACACUGAACAUUGAGCCUUGAUGUGUAGGAUAGGUGGGAGGCUUUGAAGUGUGGACGCCAGUCUGCAUGGAGCCGACCUUGAAAUACCACCCUUUAAUGUUUGAUGUUCUAACGUUGACCCGUGAUCCGGGUUGCGGACAGUGUCUGGUGGGUAGUUUGACUGGGGCGGUCUCCUCCUAAAGAGUAACGGAGGAGCACGAAGGUUGGCUAAUCCUGGUCGGACAUCAGGAGGUUAGUGCAAUGGCAUAAGCCAGCUUGACUGCGAGCGUGACGGCGCGAGCAGGUGCGAAAGCAGGUCAUAGUGAUCCGGUGGUUCUGAAUGGAAGGGCCAUCGCUCAACGGAUAAAAGGUACUCCGGGGAUAACAGGCUGAUACCGCCCAAGAGUUCAUAUCGACGGCGGUGUUUGGCACCUCGAUGUCGGCUCAUCACAUCCUGGGGCUGAAGUAGGUCCCAAGGGUAUGGCUGUUCGCCAUUUAAAGUGGUACGCGAGCUGGGUUUAGAACGUCGUGAGACAGUUCGGUCCCUAUCUGCCGUGGGCGCUGGAGAACUGAGGGGGGCUGCUCCUAGUACGAGAGGACCGGAGUGGACGCAUCACUGGUGUUCGGGUUGUCAUGCCAAUGGCACUGCCCGGUAGCUAAAUGCGGAAGAGAUAAGUGCUGAAAGCAUCUAAGCACGAAACUUGCCCCGAGAUGAGUUCUCCCUGACCCUUUAAGGGUCCUGAAGGAACGUUGAAGACGACGACGUUGAUAGGCCGGGUGUGUAAGCGCAGCGAUGCGUUGAGCUAACCGGUACUAAUGAACCGUGAGGCUUAACCUU